UGCCAGCCGCCGCGGUAAUACGGAGGGUGCAAGCGUUGUCCGGAUUUAUUGGGUUUAAAGGGUGCGUAGGCGGCGUAAUAAGUCAGUGGUGAAAUCCGACAGCUCAACUGUCGACUUGCCAUUGAUACUGUUAUGCUUGAGUACAGAUGAGGUAAGCGGAAUUUAUGAUGUAGCGGUGAAAUGCAUAGAUAUCAUAAAGAACACCGAUAGCGAAGGCAGCUUACUAGACUGUAACUGACGCUGAGGCACGAAAGCGUGGGGAGCGAACAGGAUUAGAUA
rnacentral:rRNA from 1 species